UACGGUCCAAACCUGGGAAGAAGAUCAAUAUACACUGCCUCUAACAGUGCUGCCUGUGGAUCUUACUUUGAAUUGAAUCAGACUUACAUCAUAGCGGGAAGCAUUCCAAGAAGAGGGGUUUGGACUACAAAUUUCUGUGCUCUUUAUUAUUUGUAUAAAUCUAUCUCAAAAUUUCAAAGAGAAGCCUUUAAACGUGGAAUAUACAAGAGAAAUUGUGGCUGCAAUGUUGUUGACUGCACUGGCGUAUUCGGUGAAAGAAAGUGUUUAUUCCAGCUACACAACCAGUGUUUCAUAAGAUUAAAUAGAAAUUGCUGGUACACUCAUAAUGCUUGUACACAAUCAAGGUACGGAUGUGACUGGGACACCCGUUCUUGCCGUGGGUCAUAUAAAGGAGGAUGAUAAAUGUCAAUUACUCAAAUGAAAAAGUAAUGGCGAUCGAAUACAGAAUAGGCUUGACAGUAACAUGAAGUAAAACAAUGAAAAAUGCUGUCAAUUUUCCUUCCCCUGGUUUUAAUCCAAACAGCCUCAUUAUCUAAAAAGAAACAUAAAGUGAAUUUUGAA